UAAGGAAUAUUGGGCAAUGGACGCAAGUCUGACCCAGCCAUGCCGCGUGAAGGAUGAAUGUCCUAUGGAUUGUAAACUUCUUUUGUGCAAGAAAAACCCCUCGGUUUCGUACCGGGGCUGAUUGUAUUGCACGAAUAAGCAUCGGCUAACUCCGUGCCAGCAGCCGCGGUAAUACGGAGGAUGCAAGCGUUAUCCGGAUUCAUUGGGUUUAAAGGGUGCGCAGGCGGAAUGAUAAGUCAGUGGUGAAAUCUCCCGGCUCAACCGGGAAACUGCCAUUGAUACUGCCAUUCUUGAGUACAGUUGAAGUGGGCGGAAUGUGUCAUGUAGCGGUGAAAUGCUUAGAUAUGACACAGAACACCGAUAGCGAAGGCAGCUCACUAAGCUGUAACUGACGCUCAUG
rnacentral:rRNA from 1 species